rnacentral:rRNA from 1 species
UACGGAGGGCGCAAGCGUUAUCCGGAUUCACUGGGUUUAAAGGGUGCGUAGGUGGGUCGGUAAGUCAGUGGUGAAAUCUCCAGGCUUAACUUGGAAACUGCCAUUGAUACUAUCAAUCUUGAAUACCGUGGAGGUCAGCGGAAUAUGUCAUGUAGCGGUGAAAUGCUUAGAUAUGACAUAGAACACCAAUUGCGAAGGCAGCUGGCUACACGAAUAUUGACACUGAUGCACGAAAGCGUGGGGAUCAAACAGG